rnacentral:misc_RNA from 1 species
GAUGAAGAACGCAGCGAAAUGCGAUAAGUAAUGUGAAUUGCAGAAUUCAGUGAAUCAUCGAGUCUUUGAACGCACAUUGCGCCCCCUGGUAUUCCGGGGGGCAUGCCUGUCCGAGCGUCAUUGCUGCCCUCAAGCACGGCUUGUGUGUUGGGCCCCCGCCCCCCGGUCCCGGGGGGCGGGCCCGAAAGGCAGCGGCGGCACCGCGUCCGGUCCUCGAGCGUAUGGGGCUUUGUCACCCGCUCUGUAGGCCCGGCCGGCGCCCGCCGGCGACCCCAAUCAAUCUUUUUCAGGUUGAUCUCGGAUCAGGUAGGGAUACCCGCUGAACUUAAGCAUAUCAAUAAGCGGAGGA